GACGUAGGGCGCGAGCGUUGUCCGGAUUUAUUGGGCGUAAAGAGCUCGUAGGCGGCUUGUCGCGUCGACUGUGAAAUCCCGAGGCUCAACUUCGGGCUUGCAGUCGAUACGGGCAGGCUAGAGUUCGGUAGGGGAGACUGGAAUUCCUGGUGUAGCGGUGAAAUGCGCAGAUAUCAGGAGGAACACCGAUGGCGAAGGCAGGUCUCUGGGCCGAUACUGACGCUGAGGAGCGAAAGCGUGGGGAGCGAACAGGA
rnacentral:rRNA from 1 species